rnacentral:rRNA from 1 species
GAAAAGAAAAUAACUAUGAUUCGGUUAGUAGCGGCGAGCGAACCCCGAUUAGUUCAAGCCUUUAAUCACAGUCCUUUUUGGACCUGUGAAUUGUGGUCUACCCGUAGUUACCAGAUUGACAUCUCGGUUAAUUCUUUUGGAAUGUAGGAUCAUAGAGGGUGAUAAUCCCGUCCACUGAGAUCGUCAAUCAUUAGGUACUGUUGGUGCGAGUCGUGUUGCUUGGGACUGCAGCACAAAUUUGGAGGUAAUAUCCUUCUAAAACUAAAUAUUAUCGAGAGACCGAUAGCGAACAAGUACCGUGAGGGAAAGAUGAAAAGGACUUUGAAAAGAAUGUUAAAAGUACGUGAAAUCGUUAGUGGAAAGCGAAUGGCAUACCCUUAGCGUGUGCUCUCCGGUCGUUACGGGUUUCAUUUCACAGCAAUGUGUAUGUCUUCCACGCGACUUGAUUGCAGAGGAUUAGAUAGGCUUUUCUGGUUGUACGUUGUGAUCCGACUUUCUUUACUUCUCGCUACGGUGAAGGUAUCGGCUGUUUGUUCCCUCUUGCUUCCUAUUGUCAUCUUGACGCUAUUAUGGUGUUGUCAUCCGACCCGUCUUGAAACACGGACCAAGGAGUCUAACGUAUGUGCGAGUAUUUGGGUGGCAAACCCUUAUGCGGAGAGAAAUCGAUCGAAUGAUAACAUUAAUUGUUCCUCAUCGGCUGUGAGUGAUUCUUCGGAUGAAAUAAACUCGCUUUAGCAUGUAUG